GACGAACGCUGGCGGCGUGCUUAACACAUGCAAGUCGAGCGAGACGCCCCUUUGGGGUGCUCGUGUUAGCAACGGGCGAGUGAGUAACGCGUGAGCUGCCUUCCCUCUUGGCUGAGAUAUCUCCAACUGGGCGUAGUUAAUACUGGGAACGCGCUCCUCGGGCUUUUUGGGGGGAGGAAUGUUUGUCGGGGGAGGAGUGGCCCGCGGGCCAACUUGUAGUUGGGUGGGUAAUGGCCCACCAAGGCGACGACGGGUAGCCGGCCUGAGAGGGCGACCGGCCACACUGGGACUGAGAUACGGCCCAGACUCCUACGGGAGGCAGCAGUGGGGAAUAUUGCGCAAUGGGCGAAAGCCUGACGCAGCGACGCCGCGUGAGGGACGAAGGCCUUCGGGUUGUAAACCUCUUUCACCAGGGACGAAGCGAAAGUGACGGUACCUGGAGAAGAAGCACCGGCCAACUACGUG
rnacentral:rRNA from 1 species